UGAAAAAAUAGUUUGAAUCAGUUUAAAAAAUGUUCUUUGAUGGGUGUCAUUGCAGUGACUUAAUAUUAAACAAGGCAUUAAUUAUAGUAACAGGGGCAUCAUAGCACUGCCGCUGUGGAGAAAGGUCUGGCAAGGCGAGACUAACUGAACAGUAUAACAAGCAUAAUAGCAUUAAUGAUCUUUCGGUUUUAUUAAAUUGUCCCAAUAAGUCAUGAAAGGGUGACAGUGAGCCAGCAUGCACAAUGCCAGGAUCCUGAAUCUGAAGCAGCAAAAUUAAAUUCAGCCAUUACUAAUUGUAUUAUUUACAACUGUGUUUUAUUACUGUGACAUGUCAUAAUGUCUU